rnacentral:rRNA from 1 species
UUCCCUCCGAAGUUUCCCUCAGGAUAGCUGGAACUUACGGCAGUUUUAUCAGGUAAAGCGAAUGAUUAGAGGUCUUAGGGUUAAAACAACCUUAACCUAUUCUCAAACUUUAAAUUGGUAAGAAGUCCGACUUGCUUAAUUGAAGCCGGACAGUGAAUGCGAGUUCCUAGUGGGCCAUUUCUGGUAAGCAGAACUGGCGAUGCGGGAUGAACCGAACGCGCGGUUAAGGUGCCAAAGUCGACGCUCAUCAGACCCCACAAAAGGUGUUGGUUGCUCUAGACAGCAGGACGGUGGCCAUGGAAGUUGGAAUCCGCUAAGGAAAGUGUAACAACUCACCUGCCGAAGCAACUAGCCCUGAAAAUUGAUGGCGCUCAAGCGUCGCACCUAUACCGUGCCGUCGGAGCAGAUGCGAAGCUCCGACGAGUAGGAGGGCGUGGGGGUCGUGACGCAGCCUCUGGCGCGAGCCUGGGUGAAACGGCCUCCAGUG